rnacentral:lncRNA from 1 species
UAUAUAUAUAUAUUGUUUACAAAAUUACAUUGUACAAAAACCAUAAUAGAGCGGCUAACAAAAUGAAAUCAGAGUUUCUAGCUCGGCUACAAAAAUGGCUCGAAGCAUGGCAUAUGAACAAAACUCUGUCUGGCCGCCCUUGGCUAGGUCAACUUCUAAACAUGUACAUCAUUACCUGCAUCAUAAGAACCUAAUGAGCUAAUGGCUCAGCAAGUUGAAACUGAUGUAAUAGCAAUAUAUCACAUAACACGUUAUUCAUUCAAUAUGUACAAUAUCACAUAUAACUUCAUUCAUGAUCCUUUUCUUUGAAAUCCUUCUUUUUAUCGGGUACCCUUGAAGUGUGGUACUUGACUGAUAGCAAUAGACUUUUAUUUUCGGAACCUGUUCAUCUUAUUUGGCCAAUAAAUAAUACGGGGGUUUCCAUACCGGCCUUUCGACCUCAGGUAUUAGCCGUAUUUCAUCUCUUUAAUUGUGGGUUUUCCAUACUGGUCUUUCGACCUCAGGUAUUUGCCACCAUGUGUUGGGUUCGCCGGUUCCUCCCGCGUCCCUUGCCUACUCGACCAUCAAUCAAGUACCAUACUCCCAUUUUCGAAAACAUAUUCUUUCACAUCACUAUGAAUCAUCAAUCAUUCAAACAUCAUGGAGAACAUGUAGCAAAAGUCACAUUAAAGCACACAUAAUUAGGUUCUUAUGAUGAACAAAUGAAAGCUUCAACUUACCUCAAGAUGAAUAAUGGUUUAUGUAAUGAAAGGAUCAGUCUUAGAUAAGGUGUGCUAGAAGCCUUGAUUAGAGAUGAAUUCAAACUUCAAAACAUAGGAUUUUCAUCUAGAAAAGGUGCAGAACUUGUUCUAGCUCUACUUCUAUGAGUUUUUAUGGUUUGAUGUUCUCUUAUGUGAAUAUGGAAGUGAAGAAAUAAGAAGAAAAGCUUAAGGGAUUGGUCUGGUCGUUUUUUGGAAGAAGACAAGUGAAAUGAAGACCAAAACACAAAAGUCUUCACUUAUCUACCCAUUUCCAACAAGGCCAAAUGGAGGAUGAUGAUUGGAAGGCUUAUAUUUGCUGGAUUCUUGUGGUUCCUCCACGUUUUUCUAGCUUGAGAUAAGAUAUGGGCUGAUGCUUACUCAUUAUAAUCAAGUGUAAACAAUUUGAGAAUGGUCUUGUGCAACCUAGUCAACCAACCAAUCAAAAUGCACCCUUUUGCAUACUUUUGAUUUUAGUCUAAUAUGAGUUACUUCAAGUAAUUACAUAUGAAAUUAAUCAUUUUAAAAUGUAAUUAAAAUGCAGAACUGCAAUUAAGACAAAUAUAUCUGCGUUUAGCAAAUUGAUCCCUUCUUAACCGAGAAACUGGGCUUCUCACUACAAUAAAUCACUUAAGUCUCAUGUUAAAUCAUAAAGUAGAAGUUCAAUAACAUGUAUCAUGUAUCAGCACAUUUUAAGAAAAGUAUUCGGUCACGUAUUA